AGUGAUUUUCUCCUUGGCCCAUUAACCACACGGAAGGGAGUAUUCGCUGUGGAGUGCCUCUGUAGCUGAGGGCCCCUGGCGCGUGGUUUCAUCAGAGGCAGACAGCUGCUGUGGCCAAGGCCAUUCCAGCCUCAGGAGGGCAAGAGGAGGCCUGUUGGAUGCAUCCUGAAAACACAGGCCAUCACUGUGGGUGAGAUCUACCAGGACAGAUGCCAUUCUGCAAAGCUCCUAGUGGUAAAGCAAUUUGCAGGACAACCAUGGAAGAAAGGUGGCAGGAGAAACACAGAGCCAGACGUUACACUGCUUUUCAAAGAGAGUUGCCUCUGCUGCCCCAGCGAGGAUGGCGACACAAACAGCGGUGGUGUCAGCGGACAGCGGUGGUGUCAGCGGUGACCGAGGCAGGGCCGAGACUCCAGGGCCCUUCGGGUUCAAGCUGUGCCCCCUCGCGCAGUUCAGCACCUGCCAGCACUUCCAAGUGUGUGAUUGUCACGCUUGCCUGAUUACUCCUUCCUUUGGGCUCCCAUAGCAAUUUGUACAUUACUGUGGAAUUGAUCAAAUUGCUUUAUAA
rnacentral:lncRNA from 1 species